GGGGUCGACUUGGUUUUGACAGCGAGUCUAAUUGAGUUGUAAGCACGUCGAGCGCUGGGAUAUAGCUCGUAAAUCUCAUAUUUCACACUUUUUUAAACGGCGAAGAUAACUACGCCUUGGCUGCAUAAUCCGAAUCACAGUAGGAUUUGCUUAGUCCCUACAAGGUAGGGAGCCAAGAUGUCCCGCGAAGGCCUUGAUUUACGGCAUUCGCAACCGGGGCACCGAUAAAGUAAAUAUAGGAACUGUAGGACCUUGAUGCAGUUUUGAAAUCUAAUUGAGGAUACGGAAAAAGUUGGGUAGUUUUCAGCCAGACUUUUUCCUGACAAUCUAAGUGAAAACUAAGCGUGUAGAAGGCAAUUUAAUUGCUUGUUUGGACGAGGGUUCGAACCCCUCCGACUCCACUU
rnacentral:tmRNA from 1 species